UGGCUGCUAUGGUGAAUGGAGCAUAGGUAUAUUAAAGAGUUGAAACGAAUUGCAGAGGACAGAGAAAGAAAGAAGAUGGUGUUGGCGCUCAACUCAAACUCCUUAUCUUUAUCUCUUCUUGCCCGAAGCCCUCGAGCUACUGCCUCUUAUGGCAGAAUUUCAAACCUCAUUUUCAGGGCUUUCUCCAAGUCUGCGCCUUCAAACGCCCGCCCAGAACCAAUUCCCGCUCACCAAAUCACUAACUACUCCGGCGUCAAACUAGAGGAAACCGUGGAACCCAGUUCGGGGAAGCUCAGACUCGACUCUUGGAUCUCUUCUCGCAUUGAUGGCGUGAGCCGAGCUCGAGUUCAGUCCAGCAUUCGUUCUGGACUCGUCACUGUUAAUGGCCGCAUCAUUGAUAAGGUUUCGCAUACAGUGAAAAGAGGGGAUAAAGUUAAUUGCACGAUUGCUGAGUUGCAGCCUUUGACAGCAGAACCCGAAGAUAUGCCACUGGACAUUGUUUAUGAAGAUGAUCAUGUGCUUGUUGUUAACAAGCCUGCACAUAUGGUUGUUCAUCCAGCACCUGGCAAUCCUACUGGAACGCUUGUAAAUGGAAUUCUUCAUCAUUGUAGUCUUCCCGUAGCAUCAUUCCCAUAUCAGGAAGUGCUUUCUGAUGGGGAGGCUGCUUUAGAUGAUGAGUUGAGUACCUUCUCUUCUGAGCAAGAUUACGUUGGGGGUGACUAUUCUGCUAUAGGAGAGGCGUCUAUUCGCCCAGGAAUAGUGCACAGAUUGGACAAAGGAACCAGUGGAUUGCUUGUUGUAGCCAAGGAUGAAUAUUCUCACGCUCAUCUAGCAGAGCAAUUCAAGAAGCAUAGCAUUAAGCGAGUCUAUGUUGCUCUUACUUGUGGAGUGCCUACACCGGCUUCUGGACGCAUCGAUAUUCCAAUAGGUCGUGAUCCAAACAAUAGACUUCGUAUGGCUGCUAUCUCUGGGUUUAGCAAGAAUGGGAAAACCCGUCAUGCUGCUAGUAGAUACAAAGUGAUUGAAAUACUUGCUGGUGGUGGUUCUGCCUUGGUUGAAUGGAGACUGGAAACUGGACGUACUCAUCAGAUCCGAGCACAUGCAAAGUACCUUGGCAUCCCCCUGCUGGGUGAUGAGGUUUACGGAGGAACAAAGAGCAUGGCCCUUUCAUUGCUUCAGCAAAGGAACCCUUCUGAGUUUCACGGAAAACUCCUGCAACUAAUCUCUAGAUUGGAAAGACCUUGUCUCCAUGCUUUAACUCUUGGGUUUAGGCAUCCCAAAACAGGAGAAAACGUACACUUCACUCAGCUACCACCAACCGAUUUUGCUGAGGUUUUAAGUGACCUUCGCACCAUUAGCACAGAGAAGGUAUCACAAUCUGUUACAUACUUGCAUUCCUCUCUUCAUAGAACUUUCAUGGAAGUUGACACCUCGUAGUCUAGUGGCAUAGGCCUGAGAUCUAUGUAAGAGGUCUCAAAGUUCGAUCCCUAAUUCAGUGUCCUGAAAGUAUCAUUCUUUGGCAUGCCAGUGAUGGGAUCUCCAUACAAUUUUGUCCAUCACCAAGUGAAGUUGGCAUAUGACACGAGAUUGGAAUUAUGAAACAAUUCUUUUUAAUUAAAAAGACCAUACCACAAGGUUCCAAGUUCAACUCGUGAGAGCUAACUAUUGGUUUAAGCUGAUCAGCUUAGCAACCUAGUCUGGUUUAUCUCCUUGUAAUUUUUUGGAGUAGGAUCACAAAACAGACUUCACUCAGUGCACACAUUCAGGUAGUAGCUGCAAACUUUCUCUUGAAUCAAAGCUUCUCUAAGCAUCUUAGUCCUGUUUAUAUUAUAGACUUGUCAAAGAUUAUGUUCUUUCUAAAACUGUAAACUUUUGCUGCUGGAGAACACCAAGAUAUUAGUCCAUUUUCUCCUCUGUUAAAAGGAAAUAAUGUUUCUUCAUAUUCUGAGAAAAAUUGUCAGGUAAUUGUAAUUGUAUGCAGAAAGAGAAUUUUGUAUUGAAGACUAUAUAUGCUACUGAUCAGUAAAUUAUUUGCAAAA